GUAGGUGGCAAGCGUUGUCCGGAAUUAUUGGGCGUAAAGCGCGCGCAGGCGGUUCUUUAAGUCUGAUGUGAAAGCCCACGGCUCAACCGUGGAGGGUCAUUGGAAACUGGAGAACUUGAGUACAGAAGAGGAAAGCGGAAUUCCACGUGUAGCGGUGAAAUGCGUAGAGAUGUGGAGGAACACCAGUGGCGAAGGCGGCUUUCUGGUCUGUAACUGACGCUGAGGCGCGAAAGCGUGGGGAGCAAACAGGGAUUAGAUACCCUGGUAGUCCACGCCGUAAACGGUGAGUGCUAAGUGUUAGGGGGUUUCCCGCCCCUUAGUGCUGCAGCUAACGCAUUAAGCACUCCGCCUGGGGAUACGGCCGCAAGGCUG
rnacentral:rRNA from 1 species